UAUGUGAUCGUCUCUCGCAUAUCAAUAAGCGGAGGAAAAGAAACUAACAAGGAUUCCCCUAGUAACGGCGAGUGAAGCGGGAAGAGCUCAAAUUUGAAAUCUUAAAGGGUUCCCUUUACGAAUUGUAGUUUAAAGAAGUGUUUUCUGUUGAGGUUUUGGUAAGAGUUCUUUGGAAUAGGACAUCAUAGAGGGUGAGAAUCCCGUAUUUGACCUUUACUUUCAACUUUGUGAUACACUUUCAAAGAGUCGGAUUGUUUGGGAAUGCAGUCCAAAAUGGGUGGUAAAUUUCAGCUAAAGCUAAAUAUUGGCGAGAGACCGAUAGCGAACAAGUACCGUGAGGGAAAGAUGAAAAGAACUUUGAAAAGAGAGUUAAACAGUACGUGAAAUUGUCAAAGGGAAGCGUUUGACACCAGUGUUGUUUUUCUGAAAAUCAAUUAAAGAACUGUUUAUGCUAAGUUGUUUAGACUUUAUCAGCUAUCUGUUUAGUUUUGAGCUUUUCUUUAAUGCACUUUUCAGUUAACAAGUCAACAUCAAUUUCUUUUGCUGUAAAAAAGCUUGAGGAAGGUGGCUUGAGAUUCGUCUUAAGUGUUUAUAGCCUCUUGCCUAUGCAGUCGGAGAGAUUGAGGUCUGCAGCGUAGAUCCUUCGGGGCUAAAUGCAUUUGUGCUAAGUUAUAGCAUUUUAUAGACAACUUGUUGACUAUGAUUUGUCUUGUAGCUUACUCGCUUAUGUUAUUUUACCUACGCUUAGGAUGUUGACUGAUAUGUAGUCGUA
rnacentral:rRNA from 1 species